GCAGCUCUCACCUGCUGGCUCCUUCCCGCCACGCAGCAUCAAAGACCGGCUAGCAUAACGCGAGACGACUCUGACUAGUGGCCGCCGCCACCCAGUGACACCACUGCCGUGACACAGAGACGACUGUGGUCUGCAUUACCUUCCGCCACUCUUCAUGAUGGUGUUUGCGGCAGCCAGAAUCAGCGGCGAAGUGAGACAUCUUCGUUUCUCUCACAUCUCUGGUACGCAUUGGACUGUCAGCCCACUCUUAAAGGAACAUGCCACAAUUUUGCAGUAUUACUACUAACUUUGUGCCUGCAGCCUCAACAAAGAGGUCUUGACGUGGCGACAGGAUCUGCCAAAGUCUGCAGGAAGAGGCAAAUGGUGGCUGCCAAAGGCUGUAGAUGGAGGAUGGGUCUGCAUCUGACUGUCAGUGAGUGACAGAGCACGGGAACUUGGAGGCAACAGGUCCGUGAACACGCACAGAGGGCAGGAUGUGGGGGUGAUCGGUUUGGGUCCAUCACUAAACUCCUGCCAUGACGCGCUUCAUACAGAUCUCAUGACGAAGACCAAAUCUAUCUGUAAAUGAUGUCUUAUAUGUCUGUCUGGAGGCUCUACUUCUUCAGGGUGCCGUAGCAGUCCUCCACCACCCGAGGCUGCAGUAGAGCAAAGCAUUUCAGUAGAGUCAAGCGUGAAGAUAAUUAUGGACCUCCAUGAGAGCAGAUGUAUAACUAACUUGAAGAAUUAUUUUAGCGGGAGAACGCUUGAAUGACUUUUAUAUCUGCAGACCUGUUGGUUGAUUGUAAAGUGAGAGAUUCAUGACCUUUUAAAUGACCUACUUACACUUUUUAAUAAGCCACAGAUGUUUUCACAUCAGACAUUUUGCCUCAUCAUGGUAGGAAAAGCAAAGUUGGAACUAAUUACAUUAACAAUGGCUGCAUUGUAUUCAAGUGUCCCAGUAAAUCAUGACAAGUUGACAGUGAACCGUGAUUCAUUUUAUUAUUUACACAUCAAAAUGUCUUCUGUGAAAAAGGCUCAUCAAGUCUGCUCUCUCGACUCUCUGCAGCUCUUUUUUUCUGCAGGGAAGUGGAUGAACUGUUCACUGAAGCGGUCUCUCUGACAAUCUGAGGAAAGUGACAAGUUACGCUGUCGUGCUGCUGGUCUUUUUUACACGGCAGCUAGGAGAGGUGACAACUAACCCGCAGCUGCAACUACACUAAGGUAGAAGACAUGAAAUUGGCUCCUGCAGGUGGUGAGAGAGAAGGGCUGUGUGUCCCAUAACAUCAUGGGCAGCACAGAAAGCCCUGUCACACUACAUAUUAGUAGAAUUAACAUGUGCGAAAUCCCAGAUUUUUGCCAGCAAACUAUUCCAGAUGUCUAAACUUUGAUAGAUGUCUAAAGUUAUUUCAAAACCUUUUUAAAGGGAAAAUAUGAAGUCAAAGCUUUACUUAUGAAGAAUUGUGUCUGCUGCAAACACCUGUUUCUGAUUUUCUGUUCUUUUAAAAAUUAU